rnacentral:lncRNA from 1 species
UCAUCCUUGAUGAAAGAUGAACAUUAAUAAUGCAGGUAGAAAUCAGGCCAAGUAAUGUUGAAGAGAAAACAAGGUCCAGUAGCACUACUUCCUUUUAGAAGAUAAGAAUAAACAGAUUUAAAAUGGCAAGCUCAAUAAUUUUACCCUAACAAAAAUGAGUGAAACAAGCUUCCGGUUCAAGGGUUUCUUCAGGUUCCACUACGGGCUGUUCUUCUGCAGGUGCACCGAUGUCCACAGUGCUACCUUCUGAUGAGCUACUGCUUUCAUUCAGUUUCUGCUGACUUAAUAUGUGAGCUGACAGAAUGCAGAGACCACGUUGUAUAUGAAGCAUCCACUUUGCCUUAUACACCAGGGCAUUCAAUAACCACUUAAUAACUACAACCCUGAUGAUCCGAUUCACUACUAAAGUCUUCCGUGUUUAAAUUUUCAAAGUCAGAUUCUCCUACAGCAAUUGGUACGGUCACAGUAAGACUGGGGUUGUUUAUGAAUGACAUGUAAUCACUUUCAUCAAUAAUGUAUUUUUCAACACUGCUG